rnacentral:rRNA from 1 species
UACGUAGGUGGCAAGCGUUGUCCGGAAUUAUUGGGCGUAAAGCGCGCGCAGGCGGUCCUUUAAGUCUGAUGUGAAAGCCCACGGCUCAACCGUGGAGGGUCAUUGGAAACUGGGGGACUUGAGUACAGAAGAGAAGAGUGGAAUUCCACGUGUAGCGGUGAAAUGCGUAGAGAUCUGGAGGAACACCGGUGGCGAAGGCGGCAUCCUGGACCGGCAUUGACGCUGAGGAGCGAAAGCCAGGGGAGCAAACGGG